rnacentral:rRNA from 1 species
CCUACGGGCGGCAGCAGUGAGGAAUAUUGGGCAAUGGAGGCAACUCUGACCCAGCCAUGCCGCGUGAGUGAAGAAGGUUUUCGGAUUGUAAAGCUCUUUCGGAUGUGACGAUGAUGACGGUAGCAUCUAAAGAAGCCCCGGCUAACUUCGUGCCAGCAGCCGCGGUAAUACGAAGGGGGCAAGCGUUGUUCGGAAUUACUGGGCGUAAAGGGAGUGUAGGCGGUUUAGUAAGAUAGUGGUGAAAUCCCAGGGCUUAACUUUGGAAUUGCCAUUAUAACUAUUAGACUAGAAUUACAGAGAGGAUAGUGGAAUACCCAGUGUAGAGGUGAAAUUCGUAGAUAUAUGGAAGAACACCAGUGGCGAAAGCGGCUCUCUGGUCUGUAACUGACGCUGAGGUUCGAAAGCGUGGGUAGCAAACAGGAUUAGAUACCCUAGUAGUC